rnacentral:rRNA from 1 species
GGGACAUUACCGAGUGAAGGGCUCCGGGUCCGACCUCCAACCCUUCUGUUAUCUGACCUCUGUUGCCUCGGGGGCGACCCGGCCCUCGCGCCGGGGCCCCCCGUGGACCACCCUUUGAAACUCUUGCAUCUUUGCGUCUGAGUAUGAUUUUGAAUCAAUCAAAACUUUCAACAACGGAUCUCUUGGUUCCAGCAUCGAUGAAGAACGCAGCGAAAUGCGAUAAGUAAUGUGAAUUGCAGAAUUCAGUGAAUCAUCGAAUCUUUGAACGCACAUUGCGCCCCUCGGUAUUCCGGGGGGCAUGCCUGUUCGAGCGUCAUUAACACCACUCAAGCCUCGUCUUGGUAUUGGGCGCCCGCGGGGUCACACCCGCGCGCCUCAACGUCUCCGGCCGAGCCGUCCGUCUCUAAGCGUUGUGGAAACAGUUUCGCUUGCGAGUGCGGGCCGGUUCGUCAGCCGACCGAAGCCUUUUUUAUUCCAAGGUUGACCUCGGAUCAGGUAGGGAUACCCGCUGAACUUAAGCAUAUCAAAAGGCGGGAGGAA